AUGGGGGAUGAGCAGGUGCAGGCAGAGUGCAAGACAGUGACUGUGCCCAGUUCCCAGGUAGGAGAGGGGCUGUCAAAGGCCAGUGGAGAAUCUGCCAAAGUCUGUGGGGCACAAGGUGACCCUCUCCGCAGCAGCAGCAGCAUUGGAAGUGCCUGUGUGCACUGGGACCAGCAGCGCUGGGGCAGCACCCCCAGCACCGUGAUCUAUGAUGAUGAUGAUCAUAAACCUUCAUGGGUCCCUGACAGGUUCUCUGGCUCCAUCGACAGCUCCUCCAAUGCCGCCUCCCUGACCAUCUCUGAGCUGCAGCCUGAGGACAAGGCCCACUACUACUGUCAGUGUUAG